UUACAAUAGCGCUGUUUUGGUGCUCGCAGACAUGUCCAUGUCCGCAGUUAAACGGGAAACACGGCGCUCAAGUAAAUGAAAUAUGAGCCAACGUGUGCUGCCCCCGCAACGGUAAAACAAGCGUCAUUUCGAUGACUUGCCGUCUCUCAAUACCACUGUGCUGCCUGCAUGGGAAGGUGAGACGGUAUGACUUGUCAGCCCGGAUACCGGCCAGAUCAGGUGGAAGUGU
rnacentral:ncRNA from 2 species